GUUGCCUCGGCGGAUCAGCCCGCGCCCCGUAAAAAGGGACGGCCCGCCCGAGGACCCCUAAACUCUGUUUUUAGUGGAACUUCUGAGUAAAACAAACAAAUAAAUCAAAACUUUCAACAACGGAUCUCUUGGUUCUGGCAUCGAUGAAGAACGCAGCAAAAUGCGAUAAGUAAUGUGAAUUGCAGAAUUCAGUGAAUCAUCGAAUCUUUGAACGCACAUUGCGCCCGCCAGUAUUCUGGCGGGCAUGCCUGUUCGAGCGUCAUUUCAACCCUCAAGCUCAGCUUGGUGUUGGGACUCGCGGUAACCCGCGUUCCCCAAAUCGAUUGGCGGUCACGUCGAGCUUCCAUAGCGUAGUAAUCAUACACCUCGUUACUGGUAAUCGUCGCGGCCACGCCGUAAAACCCCAACUUCUGAAUGUUGACCUCGGAUCAGGUAGGAAUACCCGCUGAACUUAAGCAUAUCAAUAAGCGGAGGA
rnacentral:rRNA from 1 species